UACGUAGGGUGCAAGCGUUGUCCGGAAUUAUUGGGCGUAAAGAGCUCGUAGGCGGUCUGUCGCGUCGGCUGUGAAAACUCGGGGCUCAACUCCGAGCUUGCAGUCGAUACGGGCAGGCUAGAGUUCGGCAGGGGAGACUGGAAUUCCUGGUGUAGCGGUGAAAUGCGCAGAUAUCAGGAGGAACACCGGUGGCGAAGGCGGGU
rnacentral:rRNA from 1 species